rnacentral:rRNA from 1 species
AACGAACGCUGGCGGCGUGGCUAAGGCAUGCAAGUCGAGCGGACCUAUUCAAAGGGUAACUGGAGGAUAGGUUAGCGGCGGACGGGUGAGGAAUACAUGGACAACGUACCCCGGACUCAGGGAUAGCGGCGGGGAAACCCUUUGCGAAAGUGCCGGUAAUACCUGAUGAACUCGUAGGAUCGCAUGAUCCAUCGAGCAAAGCUCCGACGGUCUGGGAUCGGUUCAUGUCCUAC